CGCGGCCUAUCAGCUUGUUGGCGAGGUAACGGCUCACCAAGGCAACGACGGGUAGCUGGUCUGAGAGGAUGGCCAGCCACAUUGGGACUGAGAUACGGCCCAGACUCCUACGGGAGGCAGCAGUGGGGAAUCUUGCGCAAUGGCCUAACGGCUGACGCAGCGACGCCGCGUGUAGGAUGAAGCUCUUCGGAGUGUAAACUACUGUUGCCCGGGACGAAUAGCUCGAUUAAUCGAGCCUGACAGUACCGGGUGAGGAAGCACCGGCUAACUCCGUGCCAGCAGCCGCGGUAAUACGGGGGGUGCGAGCGUUGUCCGGAAUCACUGGGCGUAAAGGGCGCGUAGGUGGUUUGAUAAGGGUGUGGUGAAAGUCCGGGGCUCAACCCCGGAUCUGCCGUGCCGACUGUCAAACUCGAGGACUGUAGAGGCAGACGGAAUUCCGGGUGUAGCGGUGGAAUGCGUAGAGAUCCGGAGGAAGACCGGUGGCGAAGGCGGUCUGCUGGGCAGUUUCUGACACUGAGGCGCGACAGCGUGGGGAGCAAACAGGAUUAGAUACCCUGGUAGUCCACGCCGUAAACGACGGGUACUAGGUGCCUGGGGGAGCGACCCUCUGGGUGCCGGCGCUAACGCAGGAAGUACCCCGCCUGGGGAGUACGG
rnacentral:rRNA from 1 species